rnacentral:tRNA from 1 species
GCUCCCUUCGUCUAGCGGUCAGGACGCCGGCCUCUCACGCCGGUAACAGGGGUUCGAUUCCCCUAGGGAGUACCA